rnacentral:rRNA from 1 species
GACGAACGCUGGCGGCGUGCUUAACACAUGCAAGUCGAACGGAAAGGCCCUGCUUUUGUGGGGUGCUCGAGUGGCGAACGGUUGAGUAACACGUGAGUAACCUGCCCUUGACUUUUGGAUAACUUCAUGAAACUGGGGCUAAUUCCCGCUAGUAGCUCCUGCUGCAUGGUGGGGGUUGGACAGUUUCGGCGGUUGGGGAUGGACUCGCGGCUUUUCAGCUUUUUGGUGGGGUAGUGGCUUACCAAGGCUUUGACGGGUAGCCGGCCUGAGAGGGUGACCGGCCACAUUGGGACUGAGAAGAGGCCCAGACUCAUACGGGAGGCAGCAGUGGGGGAUAUUGCACAAUGGGCGGAAGCCUGAUGCAGGAACGCCGCGUGCGGGAUGACGGCCUUCGGGUUGUAAACCGCUUUCGCGUGUGACGAAGCGUGAGUGACGGUAAUGGGUAAAGAAGCACCGGCUAACUACGUG